GGGGGUGGGCGCGCGCG
rnacentral:miRNA from 1 species